rnacentral:lncRNA from 1 species
ACCAUUGUUGGAUAUUUCAGAGCUUGGAUAACAGCACCGCUAAUUACUCGUCAAAAACCUUAGCAUCAAUGCAUGUUCCAGCUGAGCCAGCGAUUCUUGUAGCUAGUUGAUGCUUACAUUGAAAAUAGGAAGAAAUUAUUAAUCAAAUAUUCUCAUUUCUACCUCAUUAAAUUCGAGAAUCGAAUAAUAGAAUAAUGUUGGAUAAAUAGAAGUAAACUCACACAAAUCCCUUCCCUUCUGUAAAAAAUGUUAUUAUGAGCACAAUAAUGUUCUGGACAACAAAUUAUUAAGGAAAAAUAUGAGCACAAUAAUAUUUUGAUAAAUUAAAAAAAAAAUAUAUGAACAAAAUAACCAUUUCAUAUGCGCUAUUUUACCUUAUCAAUUUGUCAAACCUAAUUUCAGCAUUCAAUUAAUAAUUCAAUACCACCUCAAUUUUUUUCCAAAAUCUGGAGAAACAGACUAACCAAAGUUAAAUAGCAGCGGGAGAUGACGAUUUCAACAACGGAGAUGAUGAUUUCAGCAGCGGUAACGAUGUAAGAAUCGGUGACGGUGGCGGUGGCAAUAUCUAAUUGAGGGCCACAGAUCCAGUUGCUGCAAAUUUGCGGCCGUGGUAGCGGGAUGUGGCAACAUCAAUCGCGGCAAAACCACGGUAUUGUCACGCUGAGACG